CCCUUAGAUGUUCUGGGCUGCACGCGCGCUACAAUGGCGUUUUCAAAAAGAUUGCUAAUCCGAAAGGACCAGCGGAUCUUCGAAGUGGCGUCGUGAUCGGGACAGUUGAUUGCAAUUAUUCGACUCGAACGAGGAAUUCCUUGUAAUCGUGCGUCAUCAGCGCACGCUGAAUACGUCCCUGUUCUUUGUACACACCGCCCGUCGCUCCUACCGAUCGAGCGAUCCAAUGAAUGUUUCGGAGCGGAACUGAGAUGCCAAUGCGUCUCUUUUACGCGAAUUUGUGUGAAUUUGAUCGCUUAGAGGAAGGAGAAGUCGUAACA
rnacentral:rRNA from 1 species